rnacentral:rRNA from 1 species
UACGUAAGGUGCGAGCGUUAAUCGGAAUUACUGGGCGUAAAGCGUGCGCAGGCGGUUCGUUAAGUUCGUUGUGAAAGCCCCGGGCUCAACCUGGGAACUGCAAUGGAAACUGGCGGGCUUGAGUAUGGCAGAGGGGGGUGGAAUUCCGCGUGUAGCAGUGAAAUGCGUAGAGAUGCGGAGGAACACCGAUGGCGAAGGCAGCCCCCUGGGCCAAUACUGACGCUCAGGCACGAAAGCGUGGGGAGCAAACAGG